rnacentral:rRNA from 1 species
AACGAACGCUGGCGGCAUGCCUAACACAUGCAAGUCGAACGAGACCUUCGGGUCUAGUGGCGCACGGGUGCGUAACGCGUGGGAAUCUACCCUUGGGUUCGGAAUAACUUCGGGAAACUGAAGCUAAUACCGGAUGAUGACGUAAGUCCAAAGAUUUAUCGCCCAAGGAUGAGCCCGCGUAGGAUUAGCUAGUUGGUGAGGUAAGGGCUCACCAAGGCUACGAUCCUUAGCUGGUCUGAGAGGAUGAUCAGCCACACUGGGACUGAGACACGGCCCAGACGCCUACGGGAGGCAGCAGUGGGGAAUAUUGGACAAUGGGCGAAAGCCUGAUCCAGCAAUGCCGCGUGAGUGAUGAAGGCCUUAGGGUUGUAAAGCUCUUUUACCCGGGAUGAUAAUGACAGUACCGGGAGAAUAAGCUCCGGCUAACUUCGUGCCAGCAGCCGCCGUAAAAC